UACGAAGGGGGCUAGCGUUGUUCGGAAUCACUGGGCGUAAAGGGCGCGUAGGCGGCUGUUCAAGUCGGGGGUGAAAUCCUGUGGCUCAACCACAGAAUGGCCUUCGAUACUGGACGGCUAGAGACCGGAAGAGGUGAGUGGAACUGCGAGUGUAGAGGUGAAAUUCGUAGAUAUUCGCGAGAACACCAGUGGCGAAGGCGGCUCACUGGUCCGGUUCUGACGCUGAGGCGCGAAAGCGUGGGGAGCAAACAGG
rnacentral:rRNA from 1 species